rnacentral:lncRNA from 8 species
ACAUCAUCAUCCUCUGCCUGCAUCCCUACCUGUAGCCUACCUGUCUCUGCUAUAAUGCAUGUCCACCUCUCACUCUAUCAGUCUUGCUUGUCCAUCUUCCUGAAUUACAAUUAUAUAUUCUAAUAGAUUAAUCUUCCUGGCAAAACGUCAUUAAAUAUUGCUAAGUUAUUUAGCUAUAGUGUCGAUAUAAUGGGCACCCAGAUACUGCUUAGGCAACACAAUACUAUCAGACAGAGACAAGCUGGCCAGAGGAUAAACUGUCGCUGGCCGCCUCUACGUUGGUUACUGUAGCACUAUUAAUAUUAUCGGAGCAGUCUUGUUGAUACACAAGGUUUCAAUAUUCUCCAAUCCGUCUCGUUCGUUGAUACGUUUCAAUAUUCUCAGAAACACCUUGUUGAUGAAAUGCUUCAAUAUUCGCAGAACGUUUCCCUUCCCUGGCGAAUAAUGCAGACAGGCAAAUACAACAAUGAGCUGGGCGCACACAUAACAAGGAACAUCUCUGAAUGCAGAGCAGCAAUUUUGGUGUUCCCAGUUGUUUUGAAAGCACCAUCAAUCCAGAGAAUGCCAGACUUUGAUGACAAAAUUUGCCCACGAAGGAUCGCCGCGCCACCUUCCUGUUCAAGUGGGCACAGCACAACAAGCGGAAAUGGUCAGUCUGCCUUCAGUAUUCUCGCCCCAAUGAAGAAACAUCCUAAGAUCACCAUGCACAAUGCCAAGCGUCGGCUGGAGUGGAAAGCUCGCUUCCAUUGGACUCUGGAGCAGUGGAAAUGCGUUAUCUGGAGUGAUGAACCACGCUUCACCAUCUAG